AAUAAAUGUAAUCUGAUGACAGAAGCAAAGAGAGAGGAGCAAGACACGAGAAAAUGCUAUGCUGCAAUAUUUAAAGGGAUUUGAAAUCCUAUAAACUCUACAGCAAUGUUAUCAUCCUCUUAUUGAGGAAAGAGGAAAUGUUAUGGUAUUAUGGCCAUAGUCCUGGAUGAGAAAUCAGUAGAAAUCUGCUCUGGUCCUGCUUCUAAAUGAUUGUGCUACUUUGAGAAAGUCAUCUAACAUCAG
rnacentral:lncRNA from 1 species